rnacentral:miRNA from 1 species
ACUGAUGUGAUUGUAUAGGGCU